rnacentral:rRNA from 1 species
UACAGAGGUCCCGAGCGUUGUUCGGAUUCACUGGGCGUAAAGGGCGCGUAGGCGGCCUUCUAAGUCGAACGUGAAAUCCCUGGGCUCAACCCAGGAACUGCGUCCGAGACUGGGGGGCUAGAAUCCGGGAGAGGGAUGUGGAAUUCCAGGUGUAGCGGUGAAAUGCGUAGAUAUCUGGAGGAACAUCGGUGGCGAAGGCGGCAUCCUGGACCGGUAUUGACGCUGAGGCGCGAAAGCCAGGGGAGCAAACGGG